rnacentral:rRNA from 1 species
UACGUAGGGGGCAAGCGUUGUCCGGAUUUAUUGGGCGUAAAGAGCGUGUAGGCGGCUUUGCAAGUCCGUUGUGAAAACUCGAGGCUCAACCUCGAGACGCCGGUGGAAACUGCAAAGCUAGAGUCCGGAAGAGGAGAGUGGAAUUCCUGGUGUAGCGGUGAAAUGCGCAGAUAUCAGGAAGAACACCCGUGGCGAAGGCGGCUCUCUGGGACGGUACUGACGCUGAGGCACGAAAGCGUGGGGAGCAAACAGG